rnacentral:rRNA from 1 species
UACGUAGGGUGCAAGCGUUAAUCGGAAUUACUGGGCGUAAAGCGUGCGCAGGCGGUUAUGUAAGACAGAUGUGAAAAUCCCCGGGCUCAACCUGGGAACUGCAUUUGUGACUGCAUAGCUAGAGUACGGUAGAGGGGGAUGGAAUUCCGCGUGUAGCAGUGAAAUGCGUAGAUAUGCGGAGGAACACCGAUGGCGAAGGCAAUCCCCUGGACCUGUACUGACGCUCAUGCACGAAAGCGUGGGGAGCAAACAGG